rnacentral:rRNA from 1 species
AUCGAACGCUGGCGGCAGGCCUAACACAUGCAAGUCGAACGAGUGGCGGACGGGUGAGUAACGUCUGGGAAACUGCCUGAUGGAGGGGGAUAACUACUGGAAAAGGUAGUUAAUACCGCAUCCAUCGGCUGUGCCCAGGUGGGAUUUGCGAGUGGGGGGGGUAAAGGCUCACCUAGGCGACGAUGCCGAGCUGGUCUGAGAGGAUGACCGGCCACACUGGAACUGAGAAAGGGUCCAGACUCCUACGGGAGGCAGCAGUGGGGAAUAUUGGACAAUGGACGAAAGCCUGAUGCAGCAAUGCCGCGUGUAGGAAGAAGGCUUUCGGGUUGUAAAGUACUGUCAGCGGGGAGGCGGUACCCGAAGAGGAAGCACCGGCUAACUCCGUGCCAGCAGCCGCGGUAAUAC